UCGCCUGUUUAUCAAAAACAUAACUAUAAGUAGGUAUGCUAUAGCAAUUUCUGCUCCAUGAGAUAUUAAAUAGCCGCAGUACCCUGACUGUGCAAAGGUAGCAUAAUCAAUUGGCUUAUAAUUGAAGUCUAGAAUGAAUGAAUACAUUGGUGGUUACUGUUUCUGGGAGGUAUUAAGAAAUUACUAAAAAAGUGCAAAUGCUUUUGAUAUAAUAUUAGACGAGAAGACCCUGGAAAUUUAUUUUAAAGUUUUGUUGGGGCGACAGAAUAACAGUAAACUUAUUUUAUGGAACGAAAAAUUUCUUAAGAAGARAAAAUUACUCCAGGGAUAACAGCAUAAUUUACUUUAAGUUUGUGACCUCGAUGUYGGACUAGGGUGGAUUAUUCGGUUUAGAAGAUAGAUUUCCAGGUUCUGUUCGAACUGUAAUUCCCUACNUGAUCUGANUUCAGACCGGACCGG
rnacentral:rRNA from 1 species